GUGCCCUUAUAAGAAAAGACAUCAGACAACUAACUCUCCUUCUGCCAUGAGGGGAUGCAGCAAAAAACUGGCCAACUGCAAGCCAAGAAGAUUAUAGGACUGUGUAUGUCCUACACACACAUUAUAUGUCCUACACGCACAGUGAUGAGGAGUGACAAAAUGAAGACUCCAGAAUCCUCUUUAUCAGAUCCUGAAUGUGCACUUUCUGAAGUGAAGUCCACUAUGUGCUGGGCACACAGAGAAUAGAGCAUGAAACAAAAGCAACAUGACCCUGCCCUCACCAAGACUACAGGGAGUGAUGGAGCAUACAACUUUGUUUCAGAAUGCAAUUCAGAUCUUCCCUUUCGCUUGGCUUCUUAAAACUUCUUUUGAGGAUGAUGUCAAGUACAGUUCAGGCCACCUUAUAUUUAUUCCUCAUAAUUACCCUUGCAGCUUAUAAUAGUCUCAGAGGCAACAUGGCCAGCAUAAAAGUAGAACAACAGAACAGAAUGAAACAUAAGAAAACAGAAACAAACAAGUAGAAGCUCAAAUAUCCACACAACUAAAAGUGGCGAUGAUAAUAAAAUCUGGCUCUGGUGACAUAAGCGGAAGUUGUUGUGUGGAACGUGCAGGAGGACUCCUUCAAAAGGAAUAUGGACAGGGAGUGCACACUUUUCCAGCCUUCUUGUCUCAUUCCUUCUUGCUGCCAGGAACAAUGACAUGAGAACUGGAGCGCUAACAGCCAUUCAGAUCAUGAGGCAACAUUAAGGAUGAAAACCACACACUGAGGAUGAUGGAGCAGAAAAAACGGAGAGAAGGAGAUUUUCUGACCAUCCCAUGGUGCCAGUUGACACACCUGGACUGCCUACUUCUGACUCUCUUGUAUUUGAAAUAAUACAUUUUGUUGUGUUUAAUCACUACUAUUUUGGAUUUUCUGUUGUAUGCAGCUGAAUUUAGUUCUAAUUGAUGUAGACAAGUCUGUCUGUAACUAGAUGCAUGUGGAAAAUAAAACUUUUAUGGGAAAAAUACAGAAUUAUGGAAUCAAAUUCUAUAUUUUUUGCUUUUGCCGCACAGGCAUAUUCUUUCCAUGCUCCGAUCUAGAGUAGCUCACUUGUUAAAUCAUGAUAAUUCUGGUUGUGUCUAUUUUGCUUCCACUUCUGAUGAAUAAUUGAAUAUUUAGAGCUGUUGUGAAAGUUUUUGGUCUCUGUCUUUCUCCUGCUAACAAUAGAAUGUCUUGAUGAAUUGAUUAAGUAAAAAUAAAAAUGCACUGAG
rnacentral:lncRNA from 1 species